rnacentral:rRNA from 1 species
GACGAACGCUGGCGGCGUGCCUAAUACAUGCAAGUCGAACGCUUUGAUUUUCACCGGAGCUUGCUCCACCGAAAAUCAAAGAGUGGCGGACGGGUGAGUAACACGUGGGCAACCUGCCCAACAGAGGGGGAUAACACUUGGAAACAGGUGCUAAUACCGCAUAAUUUGUUUUCCCGCAUGGGAGAAUAAUAAAAGACGCUUCGGUGUCACCGUUGGAUGGGCCCGCGCUGCAUUAGUUAGUUGGUGGGGUAAUGGCCUACCAAGACCGUGAUGCAUAGCCGACCUGAGAGGGUGAUCGGCCACACUGGGACUGAGACACGGCCCAGACUCCUACGGGAGGCAGUAGUAGGGAAUCUUCGGCAAUGGACGAAAGUCUGACCGAGCAACGCCGCGUGAGUGAAGAAGGUUUUCGGAUCGUAAAACUCUGUUGUUAGAGAAGAACAAGUGGGAGAGUAACUGUUCCCACCUUGACGGUAUCUAACCAGAAAGCCACGGCUAACUACGUGCCAGCAGCCGCGGUAAUACGUAGGUGGCAAGCGUUGUCCGGAUUUAUUGGGCGUAAAGCGAGCGCAGGCGGUUUCUUAAGUCUGAUGUGAAAGCCCUCGGCUCAACCGAGGAAGGUCAUUGGAAACUGGGGAACUUGAAUGCAGAAGAGGAGAGUGGAAUUCCAUGUGUAGCGGUGAAAUGCGUAGAUAUAUGGAGGAACACCAGUGGCGAAGGCGACUCUCUGGUCUGUAAUUGACGCUGAGGCUCGAAAGCGUGGGGAGCAAACAGG